GACGCCAGGACGCCGGUUGGCUAGGGAGGCGCCUUGGCGUCGGCGGUUGAGACGCGUAGCCCGGGCGGAACGCCGGGCCGUUGGGGCGCAGAAUUUACACGACGGAGGGUGGGAGAGAGGGGCGGCGCAUGCGUGGUGCGCCCGCGGAAGGAUGAGCGGCAGACAGACGCGGGGAAACGGCGCUAGGCUCUCGACGCUUUCUGCCGAGCGGACGGGAAGAACUGCGACGAGCGGAAGGGAUGACGUAGUCGAGGGCGGAGUUUACAUGGACCCUGGAAGAGCCCCGGGUCGGGCGUCCAUUCGGGAGAGGCAUGCAUGCCACAGCAUGUGUAUGGAGGUCAAAGGACAACUUGCAGGAGUUGGAUCCAACCAGUUCCCCAGUUACAGCACUUCAUGGGAAGGUUCUUCCCACGCCAACCAGUUCCCCAGUUCCUGGUGAAGACUGAUCAAGCGUCCUACAGUGUAAUUCAUGGCUGACAUUGCCUGCCAGGCCUCCAUGUGGAGGGGCUCUAUCCAACAAGACUGCUCCAGGUUAAGAUGCCGGCCUUGAGUCCGGGCCUCACGACUUAUGCACCACCAGCUAUAAAGCAAGGACACCACAAGCCCUCUUCAACUCUGGUGAUUUGCCGGGCUGGCUCACAGGGCUAAGGUCAAGCACCUUGCCCACAUUUGCUGGUAUCAAACAGUGAUAGCCAGAUGGAACAGACGAGCGAGACAAGGUACUGGGGAGAUGGGUCUGGAGCUUCCAUGUCCUUGGGCACCACCUUCUCUGACAGCUCUCUGACUCCAUCUUUUGGGGUGUUAAGGACUGUCAUCAUUAGCUAUUGGCUAAGAGCCAGUUGAGUUAAAAGUUCCAGCCCCUUCCCCAUCCCUGCCCUUGGGACUUUCCAAAAGUUAGCCCUGUUGGCUUAAGCCAGUUGAAAGAGUCUUACUAUAAUACACAGAAGAUGCCCUUUUAAACCUUUAUCACGCAGGAAAUUGCAGGGCUUUUAGGAGCUUUGUCCAAGAAGUGAAGGGAGGUUCUUAUCUAAGUGUAAUCUGGGGAAGAGCAUGAGGAGCAGCAAACUCAGAGGCCUUGAGGAAAAGCAGUCUGCGUGGCUGGAGUCCGUGUAGAGCAGCUUUGAGGUCAGGUGCAGAUGAAGUUGGACUAAAGCUUUGGAGGAGGUCAUGAAAGACUAAAGGGAUUUUUUUAAAAGUCAGCUGGAGGUGCAGGACUAUUUCCCCAGCACUGGGGAGGCUGAGUCAGGGUGCAGAAGGUUGAGGCAAGCAGCCUUAAUGGAGUUCUAGGCCAGCCUGAGACUUGGUCUGCAAGCAUGGCUAGCUGAGUUAGCAUGCUUGCCACCAGGCACGAAGGCGUGAGUGGGGAAGCCUAGAGUCCACAUGGUAGAAAGAAGGAAGAACAGAAAGUUGACCUCUGACCCCUGCAGGCAUGCACUCACUCACAGACAGACACAGAAUAAAUAAAUUUAAGAAAAAACCAAAACCCCACAACAGAAUGUACCAGAAGAGACUUGUGAUGGGGAUGGAGGAGGAUCUGUUAGACCCUGUGAGAUUAGAGACCUCUGUUGCUAAGGGCCCUCUGUUGCUAAGGGCCUUUGUUAUGGUUCUGUGCUCUCCAGGGGGAAUGACUAGAGUUAGGCCCAUAACCAUGCUGCCUGGAAAAGAAUGCACUGGCCAGGGUGUGUGCGUGUGCGUGUGCGUGCGUGUGCGUGUGUGUGUGUGUGUGUGUAGGGACCCUGAGAAUCUUCCAUUUACCCUUCAUUCUCCCUCUCCAGCUCUGUUCUUUGCCCAGGAGACUAACCUGUGCAGACCACAUCAGAGGGUUGUCUGGCUUCCAGUUGGUUGGGGGCUAUGGAGCAGCCUCUGACAGGGAGAGAGUAGGAUGGAGGACACUGAUGAGCCUGUCACCAUGGCUGCAUUUCCAUGAGGUCACAGUGGCCCAAUCCUCCCCUAAGGCCAGCACUCCUCUUUAGGCACCCGCUCUGCCAAGAUAUCUUUCAGGUUUCUGUAGCCCAUAGGAUGAAUCUCAAAUGAUCUGUGAUGAAAAAGUUGUACAACCUUUUCUUUUCAUUCUCUUGAGAAAGGACUCAUGUAGCCCAGGCUGGCCUGAAAGCUGACCUUGAGUAACUGAUCUUCCUGCCUCAGCCCCCCAAGAGCUGUGAUUUGAAUCUGACUCUGAAGAUCAAUUUUAAUAAUGACAUACAGGACAGAGCACCAGUGCUCAGUGUGAAUAAUAAAUUUCUUAAAUGUG